UACGAAGGGGGCUAGCGUUGUUCGGAAUUGCUGGGCGUAAAGCGCGCGUAGGCGGUGAUCUUUGUCAGAGGUGAAAUCCCGAGGCUCAACUUCGGAAUUGCCUUUGAAACGGGAUCGCUUGAGUCCGAGAGAGGAUGGCGGAAUUCCUAAUGUAGAGGUGAAAUUCGUAGAUAUCAGGAAGAACACCGGUGGCGAAGGCGGCCAUCUGGCUCGGUACUGACGCUCAGGCGCGAAAGCGUGGGGAGCAAACAGG
rnacentral:rRNA from 1 species